rnacentral:rRNA from 1 species
AUUGAACGCUGGCGGCAGGCUUAACACAUGCAAGUCGAGCGAGCGGCGGACGGGUGAGUAAUGUCUGGGAAACUGCCUGCUGGCGGGGGAUAACUACUGGAAACGGUAGCUAAUACCGCAUACCAUCAGAUGUGCCCAGAUGGUCUUAGCUAGUAGGUGGGGUAAUGGCUCACCUAGGCGACGAUCCCGAGCUGGUCUGUGAGGAUGACAAGCCACACUGGAACUGAGACACGGUCCAGACGACGAGGGGAGGCAGCAGUGGGGAAUAUGGCACAAUGGGCGAAAGCCUGAUGCAGCCAUGCAGCGUGUGUGAAGAAGGCCUUAGGGUUGUAAAGCAGUUUCAGCGAGGAGGCGUUACUCGCAGAAGAAGCACCGGCUAACUCCGUGCCAGCAGCCGCGGUAAUUC